GACGAACGCUGGCGGCGUGCUUAACACAUGCAAGUCGAACGGAAAGGCCCUGCUUUUGUGGGGUGCUCGAGUGGCGAACGGGUGAGUAACACGUGAGUAACCUGCCCUUGACUUUGGGAUAACUUCAGGAAACUGGGGCUAAUACCGGAUAGGAGCUCCUGCUGCAUGGUGGGGGUUGGAAAGUUUCGGCGGUUGGGGAUGGACUCGCGGCUUAUCAGCUUGCUGGUGGGGUAGUGGCUUACCAAGGCUUUGACGGGUAGCCGGCCUGAGAGGGUGACCGGCCACAUUGGGACUGAGAUACGGCCCAGACUCCUACGGGAGGCAGCAGUGGGGAAUAUUGCACAAUGGGCGGAAGCCUGAUGCAGCAACGCCGCGUGCGGGAUGACGGCCUUCGGGUUGUAAACCGCUGUCGCCUGUGACGAAGCGUGAGUGACGGUAAUGGGUAAAGAAGCACCGGCUAACUACGUG
rnacentral:rRNA from 1 species